rnacentral:rRNA from 1 species
CCUUGUACACACCGCCCGUCACACCAUGGGAGUUGUUUGGACCCGAAGUCGCCUGGCCAACCCGCAAGGGGAGUAAGCGCCUAAGGUCUGGACAGUGACUGGGGUG